rnacentral:rRNA from 1 species
UACGUAGGGCGCAAGCGUUAUCCGGAAUUAUUGGGCGUAAAGAGCUCGUAGGCGGUCUGUCGCGUCGGCUGUGAAAACCCGGGGCUCAACCCCGGGCCUGCAGUCGAUACGGGCAGACUAGAGUGCGGUAGGGGAGACUGGAAUUCCUGGUGUAGCGGUGAAAUGCGCAGAUAUCAGGAGGAACACCGGUGGCGAAGGCGGGGUCUCUGGGCCGUAACUGACGCUGAGGAGCGAAAGCGUGGGGAGCGAACAGG